CGCAGUCAAGUCAAAUUCAGUCCCUGUUCUGUCAUAGUGGGGACUGGCCCAAAUGAUUGCCACAGCAAGCUUGCAGCUCAUGGGCCCUGGGUCCCCUGCCCUGGGACCUGGGGAUAAGUUUGGCUGCGGACAUGG
ensembl:snoRNA SNORA5C small nucleolar RNA, H/ACA box 5C